CCUACGGGAGGCAGCAGUGAGGAAUAUUGGUCAAUGGGCGCGAGCCUGAACCAGCCAAGUCGCGUGAAGGAUGACUGCCCUACGGGUUGUAAACUUCUUUUAUAAAGGAAUCAAGUGAGGCACGUGUGCCUUUUUGCAUGUACUUUAUGAAUAAGGAUCGGCUAACUCCGUGCCAGCAGCCGCGGUAAUACGGAGGAUCCGAUCGUUAUCCGGAUUUAUUGGGUUUAAAGGGAGCGUAGGUGGGUUGUUAAGUCAGUUGUGAAAGUUUGCGGCUCAACCGUAAAAUUGCAAUUGAUACUGGCAGCCUUGAGUACAGUAGAGGUAGGCGGAAUUCGUGGUGUAGCGGUGAAAUGCUUAGAUAUCACGAAGAACUCCGAUUGCGAAGGCAGCUUACUAAACUGCCACUGACGUUGAUGCUCGAAAGUGUGGGUAUCAAACAGGAUUAGAUACCCUUGUAGUC
rnacentral:rRNA from 1 species